rnacentral:rRNA from 1 species
ACGGGUGAGUAACACGUAGGUAACCUGCCUAUGAGACUGGGAUAACUAUCGGAAACGAUAGCUAAGACCGGAUAACUGGUAUUCUCGCAUGAGAGAAUCAUGAAACACGGAGCAAUCUGUGGCUUACAGAUGGGCCUGCGGCGCAUUAGCUAGUUGGUAGGGUAAUGGCCUACCAAGGCGACGAUGCGUAGCCGACCUGAGAGGGUGACCGGCCACACUGGGACUGAGACACGGCCCAGACUCCUACGGGAGGCAGCAGUAGGGAAUCUUCCGCAAUGGACGCAAGUCUGACGGAGCAACGCCGCGUGAGUGAUGAAGGUUUUCGGAUCGUAAAGCUCUGUUGCCCUAGACGAACAGCAAGGAGAGUAACUGCUCUUUGUGUGACGGUAUAGGAGAAGAAAGCCCCGGCUAACUACGUGCCAGCAGCCGCGGUAAUACGUAGGGGGCAAGCGUUGUCCGGAAUUAUUGGGCGUAAAGCGCGCGCAGGCGGUUAAUUAAGUUGGGUGUUUAAGCCCGGGGCUCAACCCCGGUUCGCAUCCAAAACUGGUUGACUUGAGUGUAGGAGAGGAAAGUGGAAUUCCACGUGUAGC